UACGUAGGGGGCGAGCGUUGUCCGGAAUCAUUGGGCGUAAAGCGCGUGUAGGCGGCUCGGUAAGUCCGGUGUGAAACCUUGGGGGCUCAACCCCAAGCCUGCACUGGAUACUGUCGAGCUUGAGUCCGGGAGGGGAGAGCAGAAUUCCUAGUGUAGCGGUGAAAUGCGCAGAUAUUAGGAAGAACACCGGUGGCGAAGGCGGCUCUCUGGAACGGUACUGACGCUGAGACGCGAAAGCGUGGGGAGCGAACGAGGAUUGAUGAA
rnacentral:rRNA from 1 species